rnacentral:lncRNA from 1 species
GGUGUCUCAAGCUCCUGCUCUUAAAACACCUGCAAGAGAAUCAUCCAGGCGGCUUGCUCGCUCUGUAUGCAGACCCUUUAGAAUCAGAAUCAGAAUCCCUGGGGCUGGAGCCACAAAAUGAAAUGACAUUUCAACAAGUUUGUCAUCACGUAAGAGAGAAUAGAAACUCCUGGAGGGCAGAUGCAUGCCUGCCAUCUUCAUCGUUUCAUUACCACCAUCCAACACUAUCGGGGGACCUGCCCUGAUAAUCAGGUAGGUUCUUUUCUAUUUUCCUAAGUGUCGAGUGGCUUGAGAAAUAAAAGGACAGAGUACAAAAGAGAGAAAUUGUAAAGCUGGGCGUCUGGGGGGAGACAUCACACAUUGGUAGGAUCCGUGAUGCCCCACAAGCCACAAAAACCAGCAAGUUUUUAUUAGGGAGUUUCAAAAGUGUAGAGAGUAUAUGAAUAGGUGUGGGUGACAGACAUCAAGUACUUAACAGGGUAAUAGAAUAUCACAAGGCAAGUGGAGACAGGGUGAGAUCACAGGACCACAGGACGGAAGUGAAAUUAAAAUUGCUAAUGAAGUUUUGGCACCAUUGUCAUUGAUAACAUCUUAUCAGGAGACAGGGUUUUGAGAUCAACCCGUCUGACCAAAGUUUAUUAGGCGGGAAUUUUCUCUUCCUAAUAAGCCUGGGAGUGCUAUGGGAGACUGGAGUUUAUUUCACCUCUGCAAUCUCGACCAUAAGAGACAGGUACGCCAUGGGUGGCCAGUUCCGAGACCUACCCCUAGGUGCGCAUUCUCUUUCUCAGGGACGUUCAAUGCUGAGAAAAGGAAUUCAACGAUAUUUCUCCCAUUUGCUUUUGAAAGAAGAGAAAUAUGGUGCUGUUCUGCCCGGCUCACCGGCGGUCAGAGUUUAAGGUUAUCUCUCUUAUUCCCUGAACAAUUGCUGUUAUCCUGUUCUUUUUUCAGGGUGCCCACAUUUCAUAUUGCUCAAACACACAUGCUGUACAAUUUGUGUAUGUAACGCAAUUAUUACAGGUCCUGAGACGAUAUACAUCCUUCUCGACUGACAGGAUUAAGAGAUUAAAGUAAAGACAGGCAUAGGAAAUCACAAGGGUAUUGAUUGGGGAAGUGAUAAGUGUCCAUGAAAUCUUCACAAUUUAUGUUUAGAGAUUGCAGUAAAGACAGGCAUAAGAAAUUACAAAAGUAUUAAUUUGGGGAACUAAUAAAUGUCCAUAAAAUCUUCAUAAUCCA